rnacentral:rRNA from 1 species
GAUGAACGCUGGCGGCGUGCCUAAUACAUGCAAGUCGAGCGAACAGACGAGGAGCUUGCUCCUCUGACGUUAGCGGCGGACGGGUGAGUAACACGUGGAUAACCUACCUAUAAGACUGGGAUAACUUCGGGAAACCGGAGCUAAUACCGGAUAAUAUAUUGAACCGCAUGGUUCAAUAGUGAAAGACGGUUUUGCUGUCACUUAUCGAUGGAUCCGCGCCGCAUUAGCUAGUUGGUAAGGUAACGGCUUACCAAGGCAACGAUGCGUAGCCGACCUGAGAGGGUGAUCGGCCACACUGGAACUGAGACACGGUCCAGACUCCUACGGGAGGCAGCAGUAGGGAAUCUUCCGCAAUGGGCGAAAGCUUGACGGAGCAACGCCGCGUGAGUGAUGAAGGUCUUCGGAUCGUAAAACUCUGUUAUUAGGGAAGAACAAAUGUGCAAGUAACUAUGCACGUCUUGACGGUACCUAAUCAGAAAGCCACGGCUAACUACGUG